rnacentral:tRNA from 1 species
CCCUUGCUGGUCUGGUGGCUAGGACUCCUGCUUUUCAUCCAGGUUACCCAUGUUCAAUUCCUGGGCAGGGAA